GCAGGUGGAGGGUCCCCAGUCCUGCACUGGGACCUUGAGGAUCGCGGUCAGUACUGCGGGCGGAUGGGGAAACAGACACCUGUAGACGUGACUCAUUGAAAGUUUUGUUGAGGGGGAGAGAGAACCUGAGCUCUCCCCCCUCUUUAGAGCACGCCUGGAAUCCUACUGGAGCCAAUUACAUAAGCACUUCAGCCGUGAGUCUUCUAGACUCUCCCAGUCAUACCUCCCAGUGCUCACAGAAUCUACUGUACAACUCAAUGCUGCUUUGGGAAGUAAGGCAUGCCCAUCUUGCUUCUCUCUGCAUCUGCUUGCAGCGCCUGACUCCACCUUUCAUCUUCCCAGCACUCUCAGUUUGCCUCUUCCACCUACCUUUAUCCUGCCCAGGUACUGGCCGGUUCUUCAAGUCAAGACUAUUGAGUUCAAAUACA